rnacentral:rRNA from 1 species
GACGAGGGAUCCUGAGCGUUGUUCGGAAUUAUUGGGCGUAAAGCGGGUGUAGGUGGCUAUGUAAGUCAGGUGUGAAAGCCUAGGGCUCAACCCUAGAAGUGCAUCUGAUACUGCGUAGCUUGAGUGGUAGAGAGGAUAGUAGAAUUCUUGGUGUAGUGGUGAAAUACGUAGAUAUCAAGAGGAAUACCGGUGGCGAAGGCGGCGAACUGGAUAGUAACUGACACUGAACUACGAAAGCGUGGGUAGCAAACAGG